rnacentral:misc_RNA from 1 species
UUAAGUUCAGCGGGUAGUCCUAUCUGAUUUGAGGUCAAAUGGUUACAGAUUGUCUAGGUAAUAGACUAUUAGAAGCGCAAGUCACCUGUGAAGGAAAACUGAAAGUCAACGAUAUAGAUAGUUAUCAUACCAGAGACAAGCAAUCAAAGACUUCUGCUAAUGUAUUUGAGAAGAGCCGACUUUUCGAAAGCCAGCAGCAU